CCUACGGGGGGCUGCAGUCGAGAAUCAUUCACAAUGGGGGAAACCCUGAUGGUGCGACGCCGCGUGGGGGAAUGAAGGUCUUCGGAUUGUAAACCCCUGUCAUGUGGGAGCAAAUUAAAAAGAUAGUACCACAAGAGGAAGAGACGGCUAACUCUGUGCCAGCAGCCGCGGUAAUACAGAGGUCUCAAGCGUUGUUCGGAAUCACUGGGCGUAAAGCGUGCGUAGGCGGUUUCGUAAGUCGUGUGUGAAAGGCGCGGGCUCAACCCGCGGACGGCACAUGAUACUGGGAGACUUGAGUAAUGGGGGGGGAGCCGGAAUUCGUGGUGUAGCAGUGAAAGGCGUAGAUAUCGAGAGGAACCC
rnacentral:rRNA from 1 species